rnacentral:rRNA from 1 species
UUUGCCUACGGGGGGCAGCAGUGGGGAAUAUUGGGCAAUGGAGGCAACUCUGACCCAGCAAUGCCGCGUGAAUGAAGAAGGUCUUCGGAUUGUAAAGUUCUUUAAUCAGGGACGAAGAAGAUGACGGUACCUGAGGAAUAAGCCACGGCAAACUAUGUGCCAGCAGCCGCGGUAAUACAUAGGUGGCAAGCGUUGUCCGGAAUGACUGGGCGUAAAGGGAGCGUAGGCGGUCUGUUAAGUUGGAAGUGAAAUCCCGGGGCUCAACCCCGGAACUGCUUUCAAGACUGACGGACUUGAGUGUAAGA